rnacentral:misc_RNA from 1 species
UUCACUCCGAAGCCCAUUCAUC